rnacentral:lncRNA from 1 species
CUACUAAAAAAAAUAGUGCAGUGACAACGUCCGUCGGGGAGGGAUGUGUUACUUUGCACUUUAAUUUUAAGUUUAAAUUGUAUCGUUAGCUAUAGAACAUUAGAUUAAUAUAUAAUUCAUGUUCACAGUUCUUCGACAUAGUAAUACCUAGUUAUUUAAGGUCUUAAACUCGGUUAAAUGUUAGUUUUAUCGAAAUAAACUCGACAAAUAGUUACCUGAAAGAGUAAAUAAAAAGUGAAACGAUAAGAACCUUUCUAGAGAUAAGCUGGACCGGUUCUCGUAAGAAAAAAAGGUCUUCUCCAAGGAAUUCAAGAUUAUGUCAUUAUCUUCGAGAGACAAAUGACAAAAUACUUGAUAUUACAUGAGUGAAGAAGAAUAGCUCAAGAUUAACUCAAGAAGUCACUGUUCUAUACCG